GGAAGGCACAGACCCUGCCCUCACAGAGAAGCAAGAGAAAGGAAUCGGCUGCAGGAGCCCAGAGGAGAGGCUGCUCACUCAUUCUGCAAUCAGGCAACUUCCUGGAGGAGGACUGGACGCCUGCUCCGAGCUUCAGAGAAUGACUAGGAGAUGGCUGAGCUGAGUCUUCAAGACAGAUGCUCACCAAGGAAGAGGCUGGGAGGGGCAUUUCAGACAAAUGUUGCUGUUAGGGGAGCCAGGGCUGCUGCUGGUCCAAGGAGAUGGGGAGAGACUCCCCCACUGUGAUAUGGCUGCUGAAAGAGCUGAGCCUGGGCUGCAGCAGAGAUAUCAUUAGAGAAACAUGGGUGACUGCCCCUGUGGACCCCGACCUGCCCAGACGACACUGAGGAAGCUUCUGUGGCAAUUGUUGGGAGGGACCUCUCCAGAGGUGGUAGGGAGGGGCUAGGGGCUCCGCGUCCUGGCCUUGACGGUCACAGGAGUUGGCAAUCAUGCCAGGAAUUCCUCAGAUUGAGGGCAGAGCUGCUGCUUUUUAGUCUCAUCAGGUGCAUUCUAGGCCAAAGGGAAGACCUGGGUCCAGGAAGAGGUGAUCAGCAUUGUGCUCAUAGCCGUUUGCAGUGAAGAAGAAGAACAAGAAGAAGAAGAAGAAGAAGAAGAAGAAGAAGAAGAAGAAGAAGAAGAAGAAGAAGAAGAAGAAGAAGGAGAAGAAGGAGAAAUGCAAAUCAGUGGAAGACUAAAGAAUGAGGACGCAAACUCCAGGAGGGAAGGGAUUUUGUAUUGCUUUGUCCACGACCGUGUCCCAGCAGCUGGAAGAGAGCCGGCCUACAAAACAUGGACUGAGUGAGGCCUAGCACUCAUCAAGUGUUUGUUGAUCGAAUGCAAGAUUUGCCAGAGAGCAACCCCAGCUGGAGCCCCUCUCUGGUUCCCAGAGCAGACUCAACAGCUCCAAGCUGUGAAUGGAGUCUUCACACAGCAUUUCAUGCACUUGGAAGUCAAGAAGCGAAUUCAUGGUACUUUGGAAAACACAUUUUCUUUUAAGGAAGAAUUUUUUGUUUUCAUUUCAAACAGCCCUGGCUGGUGACGAGUGGUGAGGAGAGGUGCCCUGUUUUCCAUCCCAACACCUAUUUCCAGGUGGGGGCAGGGAGGGCUUCAGCCCAAAAUGUUAUUUCAAAACCUUUCCGGGCCUUGCAGCUCCAUUUCCAGGCCGCACGCCGCAAAGAACAGCACAGUUUCCCAUGACGUCGCGUUGCCCUUUCUGGUCUGAGCACCUUUCAAAGUGGGAAGAGCCAGCCGUCCCCAACACUCCCCUCCUAUCCCCAUAAAUAAAUCUCACCGCCCGAUGUGGGACUUAAACAAAUAGCCUUGCUGGGCAUCUGACGACCACACUCCUGAGAGGCGAGCUUGCCGAGAACAGAAAACCGAGGCUGCCCCCUCCCAGCCCCUCGAGAGACAGAAGACGAAACUGCUGUGCCCCAAACCCUGUCUGCCUGCUUUCUGCCGUCCGAGGCACAUUCAAAAAAGAAGCAGGCCAGCGAAGUCUCCUCAUCUGAUGGGGUGAGGACAGAGAUGGAUGACAUGCUCCCUGCCAGGGACGGCCACGUUCAGACACUCCCAGAUAGCCAGCUGCCACUUUAUUAACAGCAAAUGUCCCCAUCUGAACUGGGCUGGGAAAGAAAAUAUUUAUACUUGCCUGUCAGGAGGGCCUUCAUUUUUCUUCUGGGGGAGCCCGCCAGGGUGUGGGCCGGGGCUGGAGGAGGGCGACAGGCCCCCAAAGCUGCUCCAGGCCUUUUGUCAGCCCAGGGGCGAUGAAGACUCCAGGAUA